UACGUAGGGGGCAAGCGUUGUCCGGAUUUAUUGGGCGUAAAGAGCGUGUAGGCGGCCAGGUAGGUCCGUUGUGAAAACUGGAGGCUUAACCUCCAGCUGUCGAUGGAAACCAUCUGGCUAGAGUCCGGAAGAGGAGAGUGGAAUUCCUGGUGUAGCGGUGAAAUGCGCAGAUAUCAGGAAGAACACCCGUGGCGAAGGCGGCUCACUGGCCCGGUACUGACGCUGAGGUGCGAAAGCGUGGGGAGCAAACAGG
rnacentral:rRNA from 1 species